AGAGUUUGAUCAUGGCUCAGAACGAACGCUGGCGGCAGGCCUAACACAUGCAAGUCGAACGCCGUAGCAAUACGGAGUGGCAGACGGGUGAGUAACGCGUGGGAACAUACCCCUCGGUUCGGAAUAACUCAGGGAAACUUGAGCUAAUACCGGAUACGUCCGAGGUUUUAAUCGACCUUGGAGAAAGAUUUAUCGCCGGAGGAUUGGCCCGCGUCUGAUUAGCUUGUUGGUGAGGUAAUGGCUCACCAAGGCGACGAUCAGUAGCUGGUCUGAGAGGAUGAUCAGCCACAUUGGGACUGAGACACGGCCCAAACUCCUACGGGAGGCAGCAGUGGGGAAUAUUGGACAAUGGGCGAAAGCCUGAUCCAGCCAUGCCGCGUGAGUGAUGAAGGCCUUAGGGUUGUAAAGCUCUUUUGCCCGGGAGGAUAAUGACGGUACCGGGAGAAUAAGCCCCGGCUAACUUCGUGCCAGCAGCCGCGGUAAUACGAAGGGGGCUAGCGUUGUUCGGAAUUACUGGGCGUAAAGCGCACGUAGGCGGAUCUUUAAGUCAGGGGUGAAAUCCCGAGGCUCAACCUCGGAACUGCCUUUGAUACUGGGGAUAUCGAGUCCGGGAGAGGUGAGUGGAACUGCGAGUGUAGAGGUGAAAUUCGUAGAUAUUCGCAAGAACACCGUGGCGAAGGCGGCUCACUGGCCCGGUACUGACGCUGAGGUGCGAAAGCGUGGGGAGCAAACAGGAUUAGAUACCCGUAGUCC
rnacentral:rRNA from 1 species